rnacentral:rRNA from 1 species
UGAGGAAUAUUGGACAAUGGGCGCAAGCCUGAUCCAGCCAUGCCGCGUGCAGGAUGACGGUCCUAUGGAUUGUAAACUGCUUUUGUACAGGAAGAAACAGUUCUACGUGUAGAACCUUGACGGUACUGUAAGAAUAAGGAUCGGCUAACUCCGUGCCAGCAGCCGCGGUAAUACGGAGGAUCCAAGCGUUAUCCGGAAUCAUUGGGUUUAAAGGGUCCGUAGGCGGUUAGAUAAGUCAGUGGUGAAAGCCCAUCGCUCAACGGUGGAACGGCCAUUGAUACUGUCUGACUUGAAUUAUUAGGAAGUAACUAGAAUAUGUAGUGUAGCGGUGAAAUGCUUAGAGAUUACAUGGAAUACCAAUUGCGAAGGCAGGUUACUACUAAUGGAUUGACGCUGAUGGACGAAAGCGUGGGGAGCAAACCGGAUUAGAUACCCCCGUAGUCCCUGAGCGGGCUGGCAAGGCGCAU